GACGAACGCUGGCGGCGUGCUUAACACAUGCAAGUCGAACGGAAAGGCCCUGCUUUUGUGGGGUGCUCGAGUGGCGAACGGGUGAGUAACACGUGAGUAACCUGCCCUUGACUUUGGGAUAACUUAAGGAAACUGGGGCUAAUCCCGGAUAGGAGCUCCUGCUGCAUGGGGGGGGUUGGAAAGUGUCGGCGGUUGGGGAUGGGCGCGCGGCUUAUCAGCUUGUUGGUGGGGUAGUGGGUUACCAAGGCUUUGACGGGUAGCCGGCCUGAGAGGGUGACCGGCCACAUUGGGACUGAGAUACGGCCCAGACUCGUACGGGAGGCAGCAGUGGGGAAUAUUGCACAAUGGGCGGAAGCCUGAUGCAGCAACGCCGCGUGCGGGAUGACGGCCUUCGGGUUGUGAACCGCUUUCGCCUGUGACGAAGCGUGAGUGACGGUAAUGGGUAAAGAAGCACCGGCUAACUACGUG
rnacentral:rRNA from 1 species